rnacentral:lncRNA from 1 species
UUUUUUGGUAUUCAAAAACCCCAACCGUCAUAAAGUCUCAUUAUUUCAAAAUAAGCCUUUCAAAAAGCUCAGUAAAAUGACAAAAUGCUCAAAUUCAAACACACACUUUGGAAGCAUACUUUUCAUAUAGAUAUUUCUCUUCGCAUUGUUAGUUUGUUUUUCUUUUCCAAAUCAACUCCAACCUGUAAUUCCGUCUGCUAUACAAUUUCAUGAACACAUCUGCAUUUCAUUCCAUAUAGACAAAAUACUACACCGCAAAAAUAGAAAUAGCUGGGAACAGGCAACAACAAUAAGAAAAACAAACCAAAAACCCAAGCCAGAUUUGUACAGACACCAGAUCAGAAUGAGGAAAAAAACUGCUGUUAGUACUGAACAAUUGUGCAAAUUUUGGAGAGAAGACAACACAGAAGAGGUCUUGUGAAACCCACUCUAAAUGAUGCAUUUUGCAGUCCUGUCACGUGCUUUAGGUGAAACCCAAAAACGUUUCCUCCCUUUUGAUUUGAUUCGCACACAUUUGGGUUUCAUUUCUUGCAUCUUUAUUUUCUUUUUCUUUUUGCUUUUCCCCCUAUGGAAUAACUGGAUUUAAGUUCAGUAGUGUUUUUUCUCCUUACUUUUAAAGAAUAUGUCAGAUUCCAUUUGUGUCUGAUUCUUUCUGGUCAUUACUUUUUUUUUUUUUUUUUUUUUUUUUGACAAAGCAGUGAAGGAAAAUGUUCCUUUCCCUACAGUCUGGUGGAAGGGAAAUGGAGAGGAUUCACCUCAUUCUGCUCCCAGUGAAGACAAUGCAUGAGAUCCGUGGAAAUAUUCUCUACUCAAGCAAAGAGUGCCAGCGUUUGGGCUCAAUGUAUUUUUUCCCCCUAAUUCCAGCCUAUGGGAGCAGUGUCCUUCUCAGCAGUCCCCCCUGACACUCAUCUACCUUCUAUAGGACUCAGCCAGCAUUUCUGUGCCAGAUGUUUGUCAUUUUUGGUACUGAUGGAUAGUCCCUGGGUCUAAGGAUCUUAUCCACCACAGGAGCAUAGGACCAAUAGGUAAAGUCCUAUUUUCCCACUUUGCCAAGAGGGCAGGAGCUCCCACCUUCCUCAUCCCUUCCACUGACAGAGCACAAGGUAUCAUCUGGUUCAGAAUAAUGCACAUGACCAUAAUAUUGAGACAGUUUUCAUUAGCCAGGAUGACCUUUGUGCAAUUAUGAUGGGAGUCACUGAACUUGAUUUUAGCCCAGAGAGCUGAGGUAUCUAACAUGAACUCAUCUUCUCUGCUCUAUCCACAGAGAAAGGGAGAUACUCCCAUCCUGAAGGAGCUGUAUCCCACAUAUCCUAGACAAGUGUCUUAGGUGUGAAGAACCCUAGGGAACUUUUUGUCUCUCUCCAUUUCAAUAGGAAAGAGCUGGAUGUGUGCCUCUGGUCCAGGGACCGCCAUGAGGCACACAGCUAACUUUUCACUGCCUGGAAUUAAGCUCGAUGACUGUGGUCUCCAUCAUCAGAGAUGUGCCACAUUUCAUUUCAGUUAUUUCAAAGAACGAAUCCUCUCUGCAGCCAAAUUGUGAUGAAUAUCUUUUCUUCAUUUCUUCCUAUGCUCACCCUAAUAGUGACUCUAUUUUUGCUUCCACUCCCUGCCAAAUUCAGUGCUAUGAUCAGACAAGCCAAAAUUGAAAGAUCAGGACUGCAAAUCAUUUUCUUUCAAUGUCACUGUUUGAUUCCAGUUACAUGCAGGCUAUAUAAGGGGAAAAAACACAUAAACCAAUUCAUGUUUUGACAAUUCUGGUGUCUAUCUCACAUCUCAAAAAUAUCGCUUAAGUGGAAAAGUAACAGAAAUAAUAAUCAUUCACUCGUGAACACAAUAUUGAUUCUAGUGUACAGGAAAAUAGGAUCCAGACAGGAUUUUACAACUAAAAUGGGAACAUCACAAUAAAGAUUAUGACAUUUUAUGAAUAUUCAGUGUUAUAGCUUUGAGCUUUAUUGCAAAGCAAAAAAUAUAUAUUUUUAUAUAUAUAUAUAUAUUUUUAUCUACAUAUCACCUCUGACAUUGUAUACAACACUAAAUCACAAGAAAUCAAAGAAAUCAUAGUGAGGUAGAUACAAAACAAAGGGAUGUUGAAGAAUCCAGCUGCUAAAUUUGGCUUAACGCAACUGUCACUAACAUAUGUAUAUCCAACACAGCAGUGAGCUUUGAUUACUUGAUCAAUGGGUCCUACUAACAUUGAUACCAGUAUUACAGUCCACUUAGAGACAAUGCCGUUGGAAAGCUGGGGGAAAGGCAGAAGUAAAUCAGAAGCAUUCUCUACAAACUAGUCAUCUUCAAGGGAAAAAAAAAUAUGAUGUUCAGCAUUGAUAAAGCAGCUCUGAGAAAUAGCCUGUGUUCUAGGGGUACUCGUAGUGCAUGAACACAAAGAGGGAGAACUCUUCAGGGAAUCUACUGGCACUAAGUGAAAGAAAGAUAAGCCGUUUCCCCUCUCUUCUGGUGGCCAAGGGGAAGCAGCACACCCUGGGAAUGAUUGAGGCUACAUUCACCAACACAUGCUUGCAAAUAUUAGCUCGGACUUGUUGACAGUGGCCAACAAAAGAAGGCUUCAGCAGAAGGGCAGCCCCUUGAUGGAUUCUGUUGCACUUUUCAGGCAACAGCAGCUACGUGGCAAGGAAGACGGCACCACUGAAGUGAUCGGGCUCUGGGGUGACCAGUGUGGGUAGCUGGUGGGAUCUGGCUGCAUGGUCAGCACUCCUACAAGGAGACUUGCUAAGGCACCUGGAUGACUGGGGCUCUUAACUCUCAUCACAAAGCUCAGGGGAGGCAUUUGGAAUAGGGUUAGGCUUACUGGCUUCUAUAUUUACUCUAUCAAUCCAGGACGGUGUGUAGGUGGUACUUCUAUAGCAGAAAGGAUAUGAAGAUGAGAAGCAGCUGGUUUAAUUACAGCAGUGGGAAGCAGGCUGGAUACUGGUAAACAUUCCCAACAAGAGUGGUUGAGCAUGUUCCCAACAAGAGUAGCUGAGCAUGGGACGGUUGGUGAAGGCUCUUCUUCAGGCCACUGGACCGGUCACAUCCAAGCGGUAUGUGCAGCAAAGAAAGGACAUGGCACCCACAUAUCCCAGGAUGGAAGGAGCUUAGGUGCUCAAUGUGAAACAAAGACAAAAACGCUUAAAGAUUCAGACAAGACAACCCACUUGCUGCUGCUCAAACAUACCUUCUAAACUUCUGCGAAGUUAGGAAGUAGCACCCUGGAAGGAGCAUGAUUCCCCAGCAGUUCUGUAAAUGGUUGCAAUCUGAUAUUUACAACAUGGUGCUUGAGUUAAAGAAAAUGAGGAAAAUUGACCAGAACAGAUUGCUAAUGAGAUGAAGAAGCCAAUGUGAUUGCUACCAGCUCUCUGUAUUUGAACAAGUCCUUGCUGUAGCUCAAUUUUUUCCCUUUUGCUUUUCAUCUAGACAAAGAAUGACCUUACCCUGUAGGAAAACAAAUGGAAGGUUAUUCCUUGUGUAUUAAUUUUCAAGGUUUUUUGUGAACCCUUACAGUGAUCAGCAGACUGUCACAGAAAGUGAUAACUUCUCCCCCUUCUUCAGUGAGUCCAACUCUGAAUUGCAGCCUGAUUUUCUUCAGUCUGACUGCCUAAUGUCGAUGCUUCCCUUUGGCAGGGGAUGUUGUGCAAGCAUGGAGCUAUGCUGAAGGAGAUAACUUUGAAUGUUUGUUGGCUGAGCAAAUAGAGAAGCAGCCUGAUGGCAAGACAUGGUGGGAAAUAGUUUGGAAGUGUGGAGAAUUCUGUCCACUUCAGGUGGGAUUCAAUUCACCCAAAUGUAACCAGCUAAAGGGCACACAACUGAUCUAAAUUGGAAACCAAGUGGGAGAAAUCUCUACCUGGAGGUGUCCUGAAUACGGAAGGAAUCAUGAUAACUCACUGGAUAUCCAACUUUUCUUGCUAAAUUAGAGGACGUCCACCCCAUACACACAGAGCCAGAAGGCAAAGAACUUUGAACAAGCAUCUCCGAUCAAGGGAACAAGAAAUAUACUCCCUCUUAGGGUAAGAAAGCUGCAAGUGGCUUUAUACUUGUCCACAAGGCAAACCUCUCCUGCUCUUUGCCAGCACUCUUUUUUAUUUUCCAUUUCACUAAAAGCCAUUUUGAAUGGAAACAUGGGUCUACUUUUAUUUUAGCUCCAAUGGGUUCACUGCAUUGUUUUGAAGGCUCUGAAUAGCCUGGAAAGGAAGAAUAUAUCACCGAGUGUCUUCCAGGUAUUUAUUUCCCUUGCAGAUUUUCUGGAUGAGCCAUUGAAGGGAGAAGCCUUUCCCACUUACUGUCUUAAGAAACUGGAAUGUGUGAAGAUAAAAGACUUUGUCUGCAUGGCUAUGGAUUGAGUCAAACUUGACCUCUAUGCUCCUCCACUUGUUGAAUCUAGCAAUUAGAAAACUACCUUCUUUUAUUUUCUUUUCUUAAGGCUUUACUACAAACCGCUAAGUGGGGCAGAAAAUGAUUCCUCUUGGCCUCACUUUUAGAUGGGCACCUCUCAGCAUUGUAUUUUCAGGGAAGGAAAUUAAGUGUUCUGCCUUCAAGUCACUCAGGGGAAAAAAAGACUGUCUUUGAUUUGUGAGAGGGAUUAAUCAUUCACACAGAUCCCAGCAUCCUAACAGCAAGUCCAAGGGACAGCUAUAACUCCUUGCAAACAUCAGCCACAGCCUAAAACUUGCCAUUAGGUAGAAGAGCCUGCAAAGAGUGGAGAAGUAGACACUUGAGACAAUACAGCUGCACUACAUACAAUACUGUUAUAUAGACAAUGUGUAACAUCUAAGGCUGGGUGAGGUGUCCUAUGACAAAUUAAUUUAGGUAUGAAUGCUGUUUUCUAGAGAACUGAGUUACAAGAAGCAAUCACAGUAGGUUUGCAGACCCACCUGGCUCUACAGCUCAACCAGCUGACUGACAAGGGCUGCUAAGCCAUGACACUGUGCAAGACGGGAAGACUGUCCCCAGCUUUUGCAUAUCUGUUUCCAGAUAAUUGUGGGUUUAACUUCGGUAGGAAGGAUGAUAGGACGUUCUUGUUUAGAAAUAGAACAUGAAAGAUGGCCUGAAAGGACAUCCAUGCUACUACAGACUGGUGUGGACACUUGUAUUCUCACUGACAAAUGGAAGAGAUGCCACAAACCCAUUCCCUUGUCCUUCCCACUUUUGCUGGCUCCAAUAAGGGCCCUUUCUAUAUCUAGAGCUGAGUAUAAUAACAGCCUAGCUGUCCUUUGGUUGUGUGGAAGAGCUUUACUAAAUCAGGUGUCCAAUGGGCAGUGAAAUCAGAAAUGGGGCUUCAUGUGCCCUGCCCCAAAAAACAUGAAGUCCACAUGUAGGAUGUGGGGCAAAAGUGGGCUUGGAAUUACUUCAGCAUGGUGCGACAUGGCUGUCAAGGACUGGGAAGCCUCAAGUGGAAAGAAGGAGAAGCACACAGGUGUUCAUUUAAAACCUAAUGGUGAGAUGAUGAAGGUCAAAGCAUGCACCAGCAAGGCAGGGGUGGGCUUCAUGAACAGAAGAGAGCUAGAGGACAAGGGUAAGACUGUGAAGAUCUCACUGUAAACUGGCCCGAAUCACCUCCAACUGGUGUUGAGGGGAACCCUGUGGUACUGGCAGAGAAGGACCAUGAGUGCAAAGUGCUUAAAGGCUUGGAAAGAAUCGGCAACCCCAAUCUGACAGGCACAGAGAAGUGGGAAAGAUGUUGCUCUAGGUGGCAUGGUGAAUUGGUGGCAGGGGACAUGGCAGCCCCAUCUGGUGGUCAUGGUUUCCUGAGCUCAUCACUGGCUAGAUGACCUGUUUUCUCUUCCUCUACAUCCACUGGUAAACCAAGGUGGGAAAAGAAAGGCUAUAAAGGCAAACUCCUCCUAAAUCUAUACACACAUUUCUCCCAUGGCAAGGGGACAGUGUACUGGGGACAACAAAGGAGGAUAACUUUAUACCUUUCAUCAAAGGAUAGGGAAGAAAUUUACUGAAUAGAGCCAGGCUAUUUAUCAUAGCUUGAAAACCUUAAUUGAAAACCUCUACUUUUAUGGUAUAGGUGGGCAUGAUCAUGUGUUUGGAUGUGCGUACCUAUUAUACACACCCUAACAUGGACAUACACUAUUAUAUAUUUCUGUAAUAUAUAAUAUACUAUAUAAUACACACACACGCGCACAUGAGAUACUCAAAUAUCUGAACUCCUCUUAAUCAAAACUCUCUUCUUUGAAGGUCAGAUAACUCACUACUUUUUCUAUAUAGACAACUUUGUACAUACAUGUCGUAAAGUGCGUUAAAAAGCGUGUAAAAUUUUCUAUGUAGAAAACUAUAUACAUAUAGCACACACAUGUACUAAAACACUUGAAGUUAAGCCAAAUUUCACCUUCAUCUUCACAUCCCCAAUACCUACAAUACAAAACCAGACUUAAAAAAAAAAAAAAAGAGAGAAAAUAAAUACAGAAGAAAAUCAAUCAAUAAAUAAAUCCUAAAACCCAAGAGAGUGAACAUCGUGAAUCAAGAAAUGAAACCAAACACAAAAAACAGUCAACAGAAGCCUGGCACAUGUAGAAAACAUCAAUUCAUUUAGAAAACAUUAAAAGGGUCAUGCCUGAACCUCCUUUUUUCUUAAAAACAAAACCAAACCAAACCCCUUGUGUUUGUCUGUUUGUUAGCUCUUAUCGCUUGAGAAAAGUCACAGUAGCACUCUCACCUUGAACCAGAGUUUGGAACUUUUUUUGUGAACAGUGGCUUCUCAUCAAGGUGAAAAAGUGCAUCAUCUGAUAAAAUAGCAUUUGAUUAUUAUUUUUUGUUCGGUUCCAUAUGUUUUUUUUUCCUCAGUCAACUGUACAUGUCACACAUGAAAAGGUAUAUACAGCACACACACAUGCUAACAUUAAACGUCUGACAUCGAAACAGCCAUUCUUUAAAUGCUCCAUCAGAGUUUUUUUCCAUGCAAAUUUGUAUUCUUUUAGAUACAUUUUUUUUUUUUUUUUGCUACAGCCUAAGACCACAAACUUGUCCUAGCCCAUCUCAUGUAAUUUUGAUCAUUAGCAACAUAAAAAGGGGAAAAGCACCAGAAUGGCUCGGUUUGAUCACCAAACCUCUGCUUUGACUUCUUUCUUUUUUAUUUCUCAUUACUCCAUUCACUGCUGGUUGUUCGUGUUUUCACUUGUAUUGUUGUCAUUGAUGUCAUCUGUUUGUUUGAAUUUUCCAGACACGGGAAAAGAAGAAACAAUUGACUUUUUUUUUUUUUUUUUUUGUAAGCAUUCUUGAGGUAAGAGUUACACUGAGCACCUGGGGCAGGCAGCAAAGCUCUAAAAAGCAUUUGAGAAAUGGAGUCCAAACAUAGUCAUAAACUAGCCAAAAAAAAAAAAAAAAAAAGGAAAUAAAGAGAUGAAUAUUCCAGGCUUGCUUGCUAGAUAAACCACCCUCCUCCUUCCCAUUCCUCUUUCCUUCUCCCAAAAAAUCAUGCACAGAAUUAAAAGGAAAUAGAAGUGCCUCAGCACAUUCCCUCUUGCACCAGCCAAAUGAAAAAAGACAGCUGUUGUGCAUAAAAAAGGGUGCUACAAAAGCUUUCCAUGCUUGCCGCCUGCCUCGAGUGCAUUUUAAUAUAUGUCUGAUCAUUUACAUUUAUAUGGGAAAGUCAUAUUUGUUACACUUUAUACAGGAUCGCUUCAUUUUUGUCCUUUUUUAACCUUUUCUUUUUUUUUUCUUUUUUUUUUUUAGGUUUUUUUUGGAUUAAAGAGUUGGUUAUAACAAUCUACAGUAAGGCUGCACAGGAAGAAUUCUGUGUAUAUUUAUUUUUCUCUAAGAACCAAAGUAUAUAAAAUGAGGUUUGAUUCUAGCACCUUUUACAGUAUUAUUGGUGUUGUUCCCUUUAGUAGAAAAUACCUUCACUCAACAUCUGUCCUAUUCGAAAUGAGCCCAUAGGUUCAGCAAUAUGAUAGAUAACGACAAGGGGACGAUUGACCCAACCCAGCAGUCCAGACAAAAAAAAUUGCCCCCUGGAGUCAGGCAGAACUACUGGCAUGAGUAAAGCAAACCACGUUCGCCAGCUUCCCUCCUCCCCAGCGUGGGAAACCGAGCAUCCCAAUGGGAAAAAAAUGAAGUGAGCGCAUUGGAAAGACGAUUGGGAAGAUGAGAUAGGAAUGCUUGCUGGCGGGCAGGGUGGUUGGCUAGCGGAGAAAACACCAACUGCAAUAUGUUGGGUUGCAUCCCCUUGGUGCAAAGGAAACAAUAAAGCCACCAUCUGGGGAUGCCAUCCCAUUGGCCCCAUCAUCCUCCCUUCAUGGCAAGGUGACAUCCACC